rnacentral:rRNA from 1 species
GAUGAACGCUGGCGGCGUGCCUAAUACAUGCAAGUAGAACGCUGAAGGAAGGAGCUUGCUCUUUCCGGAUGAGUUGCGAACGGGUGAGUAACGCGUAGGUAACCUGCCUGGUAGCGGGGGAUAACUAUUGGAAACGAUAGCUAAUACCGCAUAACAGUAGAUAUCGCAUGAUAGCUGCUUGAAAGGUGCAAAUGCACCACUACCAGAUGGACCUGCGUUGUAUUAGCUAGUUGGUGAGGUAACGGCUCACCAAGGCAACGAUACAUAGCCGACCUGAGAGGGUGAUCGGCCACACUGGGACUGAGACACGGCCCAGACUCCUACGGGAGGCAGCAGUAGGGAAUCUUCGGCAAUGGACGGAAGUCUGACCGAGCAACGCCGCGUGAGUGAAGAAGGUUUUCGGAUCGUAAAGCUCUGUUGUAAGAGAAGAACGAGUGUGAGAGUGGAAAGUUCACACUGUGACGGUAUCUUACCAGAAAGGGACGGCUAACUACGUGCCAGCAGCCGCGGUAAUACGUAGGUCCCGAGCGUUGUCCGGAUUUAUUGGGCGUAAAGCGAGCGCAGGCGGUUAGAUAAGUCUGAAGUUAAAGGUUGUGGCUUAACCAUAGUACGCUUUGGAAACUGUUUAACUUGAGUGCAGAAGGGGAGAGUGGAAUUCCAUGUGUAGCGGUGAAAUGCGUAGAUAUAUGGAGGAACACCGGUGGCGAAAGCGGCUCUCUGGUCUGUAACUGACGCUGAGGCUCGAAAGCGUGGGGAGCAAACAGG